UACGUAGGACGCAAGCGUUGUCCGGAAUCACUGGGUGUAAAGGGUGCGUAGGCGGGAAGGUAAGUCAGUGGUGAAAUCUCACGGCUCAACCGUGAAACUGCCGUUGAUACUGCUUUUCUUGAGUUUGGGAGAGGUCGAUGGAAUUCCAGGUGUAGCGGUGAAAUGCGUAGAUAUCUGGAAGAACACCAGUGGCGAAGGCGGUCGACUGGCCCAUAACUGACGCUGAGGCACGAAAGCGUGGGGAGCAAACAGG
rnacentral:rRNA from 1 species